GACGAACGCUGGCGGCGUGCUUAACACAUGUAAGUCGAGCGGUAAGGCUCCUUCGGGAGUACACGAGCGGCGAACGGGUGAGUAACACGUGAGCAAUCUGCCCUUCACACUGGGAUAACCCCCGGAAACGGGAGCUAAUACCAGAUACGACCACUUCGGGCAUCCGAUGGUGGUGGAAAGUUCCGGCGGUGAAGGAUGAGCUCGCGGCCUAUCAGCUUGUUGGUGAGGUAAUGGCUCACCAAGGCUUCGACGGGUAGCCGGCCUGAGAGGGUGACCGGCCACACUGGGACUGAGACACGGCCCAGACUCCUACGGGAGGCAGCAGUGGGGAAUAUUUGACAAUGGGCGAAAGCCUGAUCCAGCAACGCCGCGUGAGGGAUGACGGCCUUCGGGUUGUAAACCUCUUUCAGCAGGGACGAAGCGAAAGUGACGGUACCUGCAGAAGAAGGACCGGCCAACUACGUGCCAGCAGCCGCCGUAACAC
rnacentral:rRNA from 1 species